CCUACGGGAGGCAGCAGUGGGGAAUUUUGGACAAUGGGCGCAAGCCUGAUCCAGCCAUGCCGCGUGUGGGAAGAAGGCCUUCGGGUUGUAAACCACUUUUGUCAGGGAAGAAACGGCUCUUACUAAUAUUAGGAGCUAAUGACGGUACCUGAAGAAUAAGCACCGGCUAACUACGUGCCAGCAGCCGCGGUAAUACGUAGGGUGCAAGCGUUAAUCGGAAUUACUGGGCGUAAAGCGUGCGCAGGCGGCUUUGCAAGACAGAUGUGAAAUCCCCGGGCUCAACCUGGGAACUGCAUUUGUGACUGCAUGGCUAGAGUACGGUAGAGGGGGAUGGAAUUCCGCGUGUAGCAGUGAAAUGCGUAGAUAUGCGGAGGAACACCGAUGGCGAAGGCAAUCCCCUGGACCUGUACUGACGCUCAUGCACGAAAGCGUGGGGAGCAAACAGGAUUAGAUACCCUGGUAGUCCACGCCCUAAACGAUGUCAACUGGUUGUUGGACGGCUUGCUGUUCAGUACGAAGCUAACGCGUGAAGUUGACCGCCUGGGGNGGACGGCGCGAGUAGUAACGACGAAGAGUAGACGCGNGAGAGAGCGACGACGACGACGAGGGAGGAGG
rnacentral:rRNA from 1 species